UCUAAACUAAAAAUAAUUAUUAUAAAGUUGGGAAGUUCUUAUUACUACAGUGGUUUAUAUUAGCUAGAUUCCCAACAUAAAUUGUUUCGAGCCUAACCCUAAUUCCCAUCUAACGUAAAAAGCGCACAAUCACGAAAUCGACAGAAAGCUACGAACGACCACAUAAGGGACUAAACGUAAGUCAACUAAUCUAAGAACAAACUAUGAAUCUUAUGAAAGCACUGAUUGUAUAACAUAAACUUAUAUCUAUUAUUACACUACAUAAAUGAAUUAUGAGUAAAUUAUGCUAUUACAAUUAUGUAUAACGUUACCUUUGCCAGGAAAAUUAUAAUUCAGCCGUUGAACAACACCCAGUCUCGUGUUUCAUUGCGGCAAUUAUAGUUACGGAUUUAACCCCUUCAGUCCCGUUGGUAUAAAACCAACAAGUUAUAAUUUUCGUUUAUACUUCGGAUAUGUCAAGUCGUGGGGCGCACGGUUCCAGUAAGGGCGUUAAAGGGCAAAAUAAGGGCAAGAGCUCGAAAACAAAAGUGGUUGAGGUGGUCGAUAGUGGUAUAAUAUCAGUGGUGGUCACGGGAGCUCCUGACGAGAUGGAAGGUCAAACUUUAGUCGGUAGGACUUGCAAAUCUUGUGAAGGUCCGGAUUCCGAUGAAAUGGUGCAGUGUGACAAGUGCGAUAAGUGGCAUCAUUUUGGCUGUGUUGGUGUUACGGAGGAGGUGGCGGACCACAGUUGGAGCUGUCCAAAGUGCUUAUCGGCAGAAUGGGCUCAGCGAACUGGAUCUACCUCCAGCAAACAACUCCAACCAGCACGUGGUGCGAAGAAUGGCACGGAUGUGGUAAAUCAGCGAAUGUCAGAGGAUCCGGAUAAGAAAUGCGAGCAAGGUUCAGUAGCAGUUCUCGACGUAGAUAAGG